rnacentral:rRNA from 1 species
CCCGGGCCGACAAUGGACAGCCGCGAGGAAUUCGAUUUGUUUUGAUCCUGGGUCAAGGAUGAACGCUAGCGGCAGGCCUAACACAUGCAAGUCGAGGGUAAGACCACUUCGGUGUUUGAGACCGGCGCACGGGGUGCGUAACGGCGUUAUGCAAUCUGCCUUGUACAGGGGGAAAUAGCCCAGAGAAAUUUGGAUUAAUGCCCCCAUAGUAUAUAACCUUCGCAUGUUGGUUAUAUUAAAGUUUCCAACGGUACAAGAUGAGCAUGCGUCCCAUUAGUUAGUUGGGUAAGGUAACGGCUUACCAAGACGAUGAUGGGUAGGGGUCCUGAGAGGGAGAUCCCCCACACUGGUACUGAGACACGGACCAGACUCCUACGGGAGGCAGCAGUGAGGAAUAUUGGUCAAUGGUCGCAAGACUGAACCAGCCAUGCCGCGUGCAGGAAGACGGUCCUAUGGAUUGUAAACUGCUUUUAUACAGGAAGAAACCCUCCCACGUGUGGGAGCUUGACGGUACUGUAGGAAUAAGGAUCGGCUAACUCCGUGCCAGCAGCCGCGGUAAUACGGAGGAUCCAAGCGUUAUCCGGAAUCAUUGGGUUUAAAGGGUCCGUAGGCGGUCUUAUAAGUCAGUGGUGAAAGCCCAUCGCUCAACGAUGGAACUGCCAUUGAUACUGUAAGACUUGAAUGCUUAGGAAGUAACUAGAAUAUGUAGUGUAGCGGUGAAAUGCUUAGAUAUUACAUGGAAUACCAAUUGCGAAGGCAGGUUACUACUAAGUGAUUGACGCUGAUGGACGAAAGCGUGGGGAGCGAACAGGAUUAGAUACCCUGGUAGUCCACGCCGUAAACGAUGGAUACUAGCUGUUCGGCGCAAGUUGAGUGGCUAAGCGAAAGUGAUAAGUUCCCAC